rnacentral:lncRNA from 1 species
AUGCAGGAAGCGACCUGCCCUCUUUUGAAAAAAAGCGAGAGAGAGAGCGAGAGAGAGAGAGAGAGAGAGAGAGAGAGAGAGACUUCGAGCUUCAGAAGAGAGAGGGAGGGGAGAGGAGAGGAGGGAGAAGGAAAUGACAGAGAGAGAGAGAGAGAGAGAGAGAGAGAGAGAGAGAGAGAGAGAGAGAGAGAGAGAGAGAACGCAGAGGGAGGGAGGCAGGGAGGGAGACCAAACCCCCGCUUUACUGCGUUGAAGCUUCUGAAUUUCAAGCAGAAAGUAGAAGGAGCUCCAAACGGCAGGGCGCGUUCUGGGGUCUCUGCGCAAGACCAUCUCUCAGCUCUCUCUCCCUUCCUCGGACUCUGGAGUGGGAGCGGGCCUUUCCCUCGGGCGGACCACACCGUAGGGGACGCCGUGAAAAGAGCCGUCGCGCCCGCCACCUCCUGCCCGCUGCGCAGAGGGCUCCGCCCGUAGAGCAAACUCGUAGCCAGACCAGAUGGGCCGCCCAGCUCUCUCGGGACUAGGCAG